UACGUAGGGGGCAAGCGUUGUCCGGAUUUAUUGGGCGUAAAGAGCGUGUAGGCGGUUUGGUAGGUCCGCUGUGAAAACUCGAGGCUCAACCUCGAGACGCCGGUGGAAACCAUCAGACUAGAGUCCGGAAGAGGAGAGUGGAAUUCCUGGUGUAGCGGUGAAAUGCGCAGAUAUCAGGAAGAACACCCGUGGCUAAGGCGGCUCUCUAGUACGGUACUGACGCUGAGGAGCGAAAGCGUGGGGAGUCAAACAGG
rnacentral:rRNA from 1 species